rnacentral:lncRNA from 1 species
GUCUCUAGCAUAUUCUUUCUUCCCAACCUCCACAGGUAAGGACAUAUGCACUGCACAGAUAGCAGGAGACAUUUUCUACUCUAAUGAUGCUCUGCUCUAAUUCUAAGCAAUUCCAGCUGUACAGAGCCUGACAGCACGGGCUGCUGAAGGUACACCAAGCCUCCCCACACUGACCUAGUGCACAACAAAGAGCUCAGCACAGCAGAAACAGCACUUGGCAGGCAAAUAGCAUCUCUCCAUUACAGUACUAUGAACUGAAACACCAGCCACUCAUUUCACAGACCAAAGUUGCUGAUCUUUAAGGUCUGUACUAAAAUUUCUGGUUUCUCCUGUUAUCGUGGGGAUGUGAGAAACAAGCCUUUGAAGGUAAGAAAGUAGAAGAUUCUUUUGAUAUAGCAGUUGAUCUAGUGAGUGGCAGCCUUGUCCACUC